rnacentral:rRNA from 1 species
CACGUAGGGGCCGAGCGUUGUCCGGAUUCAUUGGGCGUAAAGAGCUCGUAGGCGGUCGUGUAAGUCGGGUGUGAAAUCUCCAGGCUCAACUUGGAGGGGCCACCCGAUACUGCUCGACUUGAGUCCGGUAGGGGAGUGGGGAAUUCCUGGUGUAGCGGUGAAAUGCGCAGAUAUCAGGAGGAACACCGGCGGUGUAGACGGCUUGCUGGACCAUAACUGACGCUGAGGCACGAAAGCGUGGGGAGCAAACAGG